GUGCUCGCUUUGGCAGCACACGUACUAAAAUUGGAACAAUACACAGAAGAUUAGCAUGGCCCCUGCACAAGGAUGUCACGCAAAUUCUUGAAGUGUUCCAUAUAUUU